rnacentral:rRNA from 1 species
UACGGAGGGAGCUAGCGUUGUUCGGAAUUACUGGGCGUAAAGCGCGCGUAGGCGGCUUUGUAAGUUAGAGGUGAAAGCCCGGGGCUCAACCCCGGAACAGCCUUUAAGACUGCAUCGCUAGAAUCCGGGAGAGGUGAGUGGAAUUCCGAGUGUAGAGGUGAAAUUCGUAGAUAUUCGGAAGAACACCCGUGGCGAAGGCGGCUCUCUGGGACGGUACUGACGCUGAGACGCGAAAGCGUGGGGAGCGAACAGG